UGGGUGUCCAGCGGCGAGGGAUGUGUGUUCCCAGGUCAACAGCCGUUCUCUCACCCCCGUGGGGAUGUAGCUGCGCUCUGGAGGGCAGGUAGAAGGAGCGGGUUCCCUCUCCAGAACCUGGUGGAUGCCCACAUCUAUGUCCCAAAACAUGAGCCAACAAUAUGGGAGGAUCGAUUGAUGGGCUGGAGGACACUCACAGGACCCUCCACCGACGUGGAACCACAGGGUGUGGGAAAGAAUGUUCUCCAGCAUCCUGGCCCCCGGGCAGUGAUUGUCACCUUUGACCUUUGCGGUUAUUAAGUUGGAGCCAAGGGAGACGGAAGGUCACGGGGUAGGCGUGGACCCCAGGUUGGAAUGCACCGGACACCUCCUGGCCGCAAUAGGGACAGAGUCUCAGCUGUCUAAGGCGACCCCGCUUUGACGUGAAGAAGUGUGUGGCCCCAACCUCCAUGAUUUCAGGCUCUGCCUCAGGACAGCCAAAGGAGGGAGGUGAGUGACGAGGUGGACACCGGAGCUCCCGAAGAAGGUUUUCCAGACGGAUGGCCAUCACGAUGAGAGCGUCCAAGGAUAUUUUGUCCUUUGUCUGACAUGCCAACUCCAUCUGGACCUCUUUGCGCAGUCCACCACAGAAUAGAGUACAGAGCGCCAGCUCCUUCUACCAGCUGGAGGCCGCCACAGUCCAAAAGGUGAGGCGGUACUCUGGGCAUCCUGCUGGAGUUGUGAAAGUCACUCACCUCCUUCUGCCCUCUGGAGGAUGGUUGAAGACCACCUGAACGGAGCCAUGAACCUCUCAUGGGAACCCAGCUCCUCCUCUCCUCUCUCCCAGAUGCCGUAGCCCACUCCAACACUAGUCUGGUCAGCAGAGAAAUGACCGUGGUAACCUUGGACCUCUCGGUGGUGGGGGCUCCCAUCUGAUAGGCGAAAUAGAGGGAGCGCUGGAGUAGGAAGCAACGGCAUUUCAAUGGAGUGCCGUUAAUACUUCUCCGGAAGGGACAGUCGGGCAUCGCUGACCUGGGUGGACGGCUGGGUAGGUUGGGGGACUGGCUCACUGUGACGACCUGUGGUAGGAGGCCCUCCAUCAGAGGUAAGGAGUAGGUCAACCGAUUAAUUUGAAUGGCCGAUUAAUUAGGGACGAUUUCAGGUUUUCAUAACAAUCGGCAAUCAGCAUUUUUGGACACCGAUCAUGGCCGAUUACAUUGCACUCCACGAGGAGACUGCGUGGCAGCAAGGAGCCAAGGUAAGGUGCAAGCUAGCAUUAAACAUAUCUUAUAAAAAACAAUCAAUCUUAACAUAAUCACUAGUUAACUACACAUGGUUGAUGAUAUUACUAGUUUAUCUAGCUUGUCCUGCAUUGCAUAUAAUCGAUGCGGUGCCUGUUAAUUUAUCAUUGAAUCACAGCCUACUUCGUCAAAUGGGGGAUUUAACAAGCGCAUUCGCAAAAAAAAUCACUGUCGUUGCACCAAUGUGUACCUAACCAUAAACAUCAACGCCUUUCUUAAAAUCAAUACACAAGUAUAUAUUUUUAAAGCCGCAUAUUUAGUUAAUAUUGCCUGCUAACAUGAAUUCCUUUUAACUAGGGAAAUUGUGUCACUUCUCUUGCGUUCUGUGCAACAGAGUCAGGGUAUAUGCAACAGUUUGGGCCGCCUGGCUCGUUGCGAACUAAUUUGCCAGAAUUUUACAUAAUUAUGACAUAACAUUGAAGGUUGUGCAAUGUAACAGCAAUAUUUAGAGUUAUGGAUGCCACCCAUUAGAUAAAAUACGGAACGGUUCUGUGUUUCACAGAAAGAAUAAACGUUUUAUUUUCUAAAUGAUAGUUUCUGGAUUUGACCAUAUUAAUGACCUAAGGCUCGUAUUUCUGUGUGUUAUUAUAUUAUAAUUAAGUCUAUGAUUUGAUAGAGCAGUCUGACUGAGCGGUGGUAGGCAGCAUCAGGCUCGUAAGCAUUCAUUCAAACAGCACUUUACUGCGUUUGCCAGCAGCUCUUUGCAAUGCUUCAAGAAUUGCGCUGUUUAUGACUUCAAGCCUAACAAUUCCCGAGAUUAGGCUGGCAAUGCUAAAGUACCUAUUAGAACAUCCAAUAGUCAAAGGUAUAUGAAAUACAAAUGGUAUAGAGAGUGAUAGUUCUAUAAAACUACAACCUAAAACUUCUUACCUGGGAAUAUUGAAGACUCAUGUUAAAAGGAACCACCAGCUUUCAUAUGUUCUCAUGUUCUGAGCAAGGAACUUAAACGCUUUUUUACAUGGCUGUCACGCCCUGACCAUAGAGAGCUGUUUAUUCUCUGUGUUGGUUAGGUCGGGGUGUGAUUAAGGGUGGGUUAUCUAGGGGAAUUAUGUGUCUAUUUUGGCCUGGUAUGGUUCCCAAUCAGAGGCAGCUGUUUAUCGUUGUCUCUGAUUGGGGAUCAUAUUUAGGUAGGCAUUUCCCCAUUGUGCUUUGUGGGAUCUUAACUUUGCAUAGUUGCCUGUGAGCACUAUGUUAGCUUCACGUUUCGUUUUCUUCUGUUUUGUUUGGUGAGUUUUAUUAUUUAUUAAACGUGGAAUUCUACACACCCUGCGCCUUGGUCCAAUCAUUAUGACGAUCGUGACAGAAGAUCCCACCACAACAGGACCAAGCAGCGUGCUCGGGAGGAGAUGGCAUCCUGGUCUUUGAAGGAGAUCAGGGAGAGAAUAGCCUGGACUUGGGAAGACAUAAUGGCAGGAGACAAUAGCCUGCCAUGGAAGCAGGCGGAAGCAGCGAAGGAGGGACAGCGACAAAGUCGGGGAGGAAGGCCACAGAAACCCCAAUAAAAAAUUUGGGUGGGGGCACAUGGAGCAGUGGGCGGAGCCGAGGAGUGAACCAGAGUCAGUCUGGGAGAAGAAGGAGACUUUGGAGGAGAGAGAAAAGGGAGAGUUGUUGAGUUGGUGGAGGAUGCACGGAUUUGGACUAAAGGAACGUGUUAUCAGUUUGGUGCCACAUGAGUCAGCUCCCCGUACUCGUCAUGAGAAGUGUGUUAAAGUUGCGGAACUAUUGAUGCCGGCUAUACGCACCAGGUCUCCAAUGCACCUUCACAACCCAGUACGUCCUCUGCCUGCUCCUCACACUCUCCUUCAAGUGCGCUUUCCAUGUCAGGUGCGUCCUGUUCCUGCUCCUCGCACUCUCCUUGGAGUGCAUGUCCACAGUCCAGUAUGUCCUGUGCCUCCUCCCCGCACUCGCCCUGAGGUGCGUGUCAUCAGCCCGGUACCACCAGUGCCGGUCACAUGCAUCAGGCCUCCAGUGUGCCUCCACAGUCCAGUACGUCCUGUGCCUCCCCGCACUCGACCUGAGGUGCGUGUCACCUCACGCAUCAGGCCUCCAGUGCGCCUCCACAGUCCAGUACGUCCUGUGCCUGCUCCUCGCGCUCAUCCUGAGGUGUAUGUCACCAGCCUGGUACCACCAGUGCCGGCCCCACGCACCAAGCUUCCGGGGACAGUUCCCAGUCCAGAGCUUCCGGCGACAGUUCCCAGUCCUGAGAUGGUCCACAGUCUGGAACCUCCUGCGACGGUCCACGGUCCAGAACCUCCAGCUCCAGGGCAGGAGCCUUCCUCUGCGCCGAGUCCCAGUCCGAGCACGGCGUCCAGUCCCACUCCGUGGCAGGAGCCUUCCUCUGCGCCGAUGCCCAGUUCAAGCACGGCGUCCAGUCCAGCUCCAUGGCAGGAGCCCUUCUCUGCGCUGAUGCCCAGUCCAGGCACGGCGUCCAGUCACGCUCCAUGGCAGGAGCCUUCCUCUGCGCCGGUGCCCAGUCCGGGCACGGCAUUCUACCCGGUACCAUAUCCGCAAGGGAGUGGGUACUUCGCCCCGCACUGGAGCCGCCCCCGACGUUAGAUGCCCACCCGGACCCUCCCCUACUGAGUCUGGUUUGAGUCCACACCUUUGGGGGGAGGGGGGAGAUACUGUCACGCCCUGACCAUAGAAAGCAUUUAUUCUCAAUGGUGGUUAGGUCGGGGUGUGACUAGGGUGGGUUAUUAGGUUAUUGUAUGUCUAUGUUGGCCUGGUAUGGUUCCCAAUCAGAGACAGCUGUUUAUCGUUGUCUCUGAUUGGGGAUCAUAUUUAGGCAGCCAUUUUCCCCACUGUGUUUUGUGGGAUCUUGUUUGUGUCUAGUGGCCUGUGAGCACUCCAUGACUUCACGUUUUCGUUAUUUUUUUUUGCUCUUUAUUGUUUUCGUGAGUUUCAUUUCAAUGAAACAUGUGGAGCUCUGCCUUGGUCCGACAUUCAUUAUAACGACCGUGACAGUUCAUUGUUCAUUCAGUAUUGUUGUAAUUGUCAUUAUUACAAAUAUAAAUUAAUCGGCCAAUUUUUUUGGGAUCCUCCAUUAAUCGGUAUCGGCGCUGAAAAAUCAUAAUCGGCUGACCUCUAGUAUUGAGAACCUCGCUGGUGGUGUCGAGGCGGUGGAGAAGGCGGAGGAUUUCCUUCAUGGUCGUACCCAGUGGAGCCAGCUGGUCGUGGAGUACGGUGUCCAUUUCCCAACAAUUGUGGUAUUACAAAGAGAAGGUAAAUUAAGUAAAAUAGGUUACGCAUCAUUGUUUGAUAAUUAAUAUAUUGUUCGAAACAUGUUUCAAAUAUACGAUGAAAAGAGACCAUACUCUCACUUGUUACAAUAAUCUGCUCCGAGUGGAUUGUGAAGCAUGAAGCAAAAU
ensembl:lncRNA